rnacentral:rRNA from 1 species
UACAGAGGUCCCGAGCGUUGUUCGGAUUCAUUGGGCGUAAAGGGUGCGUAGGCGGCGGGGUAAGUUUGAUGUGAAAUCCCGGGGCUCAACCCUGGAAUUGCAUUGAAUACUACCUUGCUAGAGUACCGGAGAGGAAACUGGAAUUUACGGUGUAGCAGUGAAAUGCGUAGAGAUCGUAAGGAAGACCAGUGGCGAAGGCGAGUUUCUGGACGGUAACUGACGCUGAGGCACAAAGGCCAGGGGAGCAAACGGG